UACGGAGGGAGCUAGCGUUGUUCGGAAUUACUGGGCGUAAAGCGCGCGUAGGCGGCUUUGUAAGUUAGAGGUGAAAGCCCGGGGCUCAACCCCGGAAUUGCCUUUAAGACUGCAUCGCUAGAAUCCGGGAGAGGUGAGUGGAAUUCCUGGUGUAGCGGUGAAAUGCGCAGAUAUCAGGAGGAACACCGGUGGCGAAGGCGGGGUCUCUGGGCCCCUACCUGACGCUGAGACGCGAAAGCGUGGGGAGCGAACAGG
rnacentral:rRNA from 1 species